AAGACCAAUUUAAGGCUAUCCCCAAUGAGGGGUUUUUAGAGGAGUUUUAAGGGAAAAGUAGGAAAAAAAUAAAUCAGAAAGAGAAAAAAAUAAGAAGAUAGUAUACUCGAUUUCGGAUAAGAGACUGUGACGUGUCAGCGAUAAGAGACGUGUCAGCGCAUGGUUGGGUAAAGAGUUUUAUCAAGAGCAAAAAAGUUUUUGGCGUUCCUUCUCUUCCGGUCUCUCUCUCGCGAAUGUUACAGUUGAUCCUUUGUGUGUUCUGUCCUAGUGUUUGAUUUUGGAUUGCAUGAACGCUUCUUCUAUUUCUCUCUCUGCUCACGGCGAAAUUUGAUUGUAUAAUAUGGUGUUGUAGGUUCGUUGAUGUUCUUGUUCCGUGGCGAUUUUGGAUGUUUCAUCUACACCGGAGACUUCUGCUGGGAUGUUGAUGCAACAGAUGAAGCUAGAACAACUCUCGUUGAUGCUAUUAAUGAAUUUCUAGUUAAUCGUUGUUAGGCCUUAUUAAUUAACGAAUCUCUGAUUUUUGUUUCUUCGUCUCUUGCAGGUUGUAUUGUUGAAGCGAUUUUUAUUAUCUGAUCUGAAUCUGAGCAUCCCUCCCUCGGCUUCUGAAUUUUCACUCCUCCGACGGUUUGAUGUUUUUUUGUUUCUCACAAAUUUUCCACUCGUUUUCUCUACUUUGCUUCUUCGAUUAGAGAGGAGAAGGAAACAUAGCUUUUAGGCAUUGAAUCAAGCAUUUUGACAACUAAAUCAAAGUUAGUUUUGCCUUCUCCUAAUGCUCUCAUUUGAUUUGCUACAGCUUGGAUCCUGUCAAAAUAUGCUUUGAUCUUUUCUCCUUCUUUCAUUUUCAGAUUUUCAAACUCUCUUCUUAGAGAUUGAAGUUUAACAGUUUUGAAUUUUUCAUUACAUUGGUAGGAUUGCUCCAAGAUUUUCCAGGCUUGAUGUGCUUAAGUUGCAGAGAGGACUUUAUCAAAGAUGAUGUCUGCUACAACAUGCUGAAUGAGUUGAAGUGCAGCAAUGUCUUUGUAGCUGUAGUAUUUAAAUGCCCCAAUCUGCUUUCUUAUCUGAUCAUGGUUUUUUCCUUUUUGCUAUUCAUCUACAUGUUGCUAUUGAUAAUGCUAACUACAAAGGCUAAACAUUUCAGAGAUUAGCUGCUUUCAGUAUGGAUUAGAUGUGAAUUGCUGCUGCUUUUUUUUUUUUAAUGUUGAUCUGUUUAAAUUAAGAGUUCAUGAGGAAAUUCUCUUUUUUGAUUCAAUGGUGUGUGGCUUUUGAAUUGUGCAGAUAUGCAAACUGAAAUAGGCUAAGCUGCUUCUAAUGAUUAUCCUGAAAAUUGAUCUGACUCUGUUCUUCUCUCUUUCUUCUUUCCACUAGGAUUUCCAGAUUUACUAACUUCUUUGUUAUUCUUCUUCUUAUAGGGUUUGGUAUGUCUCUCUCUCUCUCUCUCUCUCUCUCUCUCUCUCUCUCUCAAUUCAAUCUGGUCACCACCUCUGCAUUCCUACUUGUGGAAUUCUCGCCAAUGAUUUGUUUUAAGGUCUCCUCUCAUUUUGGAAACCAAUUUUUUUUUUUAAAGUGCAGAGCCAACAGAGAUGCCUCAAUAGAUGGGGAUGAAGGCGAAACAAGCAGUCCAGCUACUCAAAGUAUGAAUGUGGAACACUUUCAAAACAACAACACCAAGCUGCAAGCGUAUAUGUACUCUCAACACCAAGCUACUUCUUCCACUAGUAUCUACCUACUUCAAAUAAACUUGGAUUUGUGUCAGCAAAAUGUAUAUGUACUCUCAAUACUGGACUGGUGUAAUCAUUUUCACCAUGUGAGAUAUAAGUAAAUUUCUAGAGCCUUGUUUCAAAACAA